GGCUUGCUUGGUCUUGAGCUUAACUAUGAGCACAACGCAAUUCCUUUUUCUUGUUGUAAGUAAUAAUGCAGGAAUCAUGCAACUCCAUUCAUGCUUUCCGAAGACGAGAUAGAUCUACAAUUUGCAAUAAACCACUUGGAAUUUUUUUUUUUUUGAACAGCAGAUCAUUUUCUUUUGACUGUCUAUGAAGAAAAUGGUGCGGAGAACUAGCAAAGAAGGUAGGAUUGUAAAUGCAUAAUCAAGACAGCACCAUUAUUCAUAUCCAGAAGGGAUCAGAUUGGAUAAAGUUAAUGGUCAAUCACGGUAAGACUACGUUGGAGCCAUUACAACACAUACACCUCAAUUUGCAAUCAACAGUUCUUCUGCAGCUACUUUUUCUUUUUCUUUUUUUUUUUGCUGUCGCUUUUGUUGGUUAAAUUUUGGUUAAGCUGUUACUUCACUGAUUGGUGUUAGUAGGGUAAGUGAUUUAAGAUGUUCGGUCAUCUUGCAGAUCAUUUUCUUUUGACUGAUCUAAUGUUGGUAACCAUGAAGAAAAUGGCACGGA